rnacentral:rRNA from 1 species
UACAGAGGUCCCAAGCGUUGUUCGGAUUCACUGGGCGUAAAGGGUGCGUAGGUGGCUACUUUAAGUUUGAUGUGAAAGCUCCGGGCUCAACCCGGAAAUGGCAUUGAAGACUAUUGAGCUAGAGGUUUGGAGGGGGGACUGGAAUACUUGGUGUAGCAGUGAAAUGCGUAGAUAUCAAGUGGAACACCAGUGGCGAAGGCGAGUCCCUGGACAACACCUGACACUGAGGCACGAAAGCUAGGGGAGCAAACAGG